rnacentral:rRNA from 1 species
GAUGAACGCUGGCGGCGUGCCUAAUACAUGCAAGUCGAGCGAGCAGACGAGGAGCUUGCUCCUCUGACGUUAGCGGCGGACGGGUGAGUAACACGUGGAUAACCUACCUAUAAGACUGGGAUAACUUCGGGAAACCGGAGCUAAUACCGGAUAAUAUAUUGAACCGCAUGGUUCAAUAGUGAAAGACGGUUUUGCUGUCACUUAUAGAUGGAUCCGCGCCGCAUUAGCUAGUUGGUAAGGUAACGGCUUACCAAGGCGACGAUGCGUAGCCGACCUGAGAGGGUGAUCGGCCACACUGGAACUGAGACACGGUCCAGACUCCUACGGGAGGCAGCAGUAGGGAAUCUUCCGCAAUGGGCGAAAGCCUGACGGAGCAAUGCCGCGUGAGUGAUGAAGGUCUUCGGAUCGUAAAACUCUGUUAUUAGGGAAGAACAAAUGUGUAAGUAACUAUGCACGUCUUGACGGUACCUAAUCAGAAAGCCACGGCUAACUACGUG